rnacentral:lncRNA from 1 species
AGUUAAUUUUUUGGCACUUUUCAAAAGGCUAGAACGCUUUUGUCCAAAAAAGAGGAACAUACCCACUGGGAGGCUUUCCGACUGGCCUAGGAACCAGAAAGAACACACUUCCUGUUGGACAGCACUGCCGUUCAUGGGGUGGUAACAAAGUUUUGAAAAACAUGGGUUAUCAAGAAAUACCAGAUGUAUUAGUUUCCAUAAACCUACCAUAUAUCUAGGUAUUUCCCAAAGCAUAUUGCCUUUUUCUUCCUGGAAAUUGUGUAAAGUGGGGGCAAAAAAAAAGUGUUUAGUAAUUUGUCUGGGAUUUCUGGUGUCCUGGUAAUCGAGUUGGAGCAAUAGCUCUAGAUAACUAGAAGUCCCAGAAGGAUGACCACUGCUCAUGCACAGAUCAUCUGUGUCUUUUUUUUCACAGAAAGGAAAGUUUAAUCACUCCCUAAAGGCACGAUUUCAAAGAGUACUGUACAUACAGCAGUCAUCCCUCACAUCAAAUCUAUUGAAGAUCAUCAUAAAAGGCUGGAGUGGACUCUCUCUCUCAAAAAAUAUACUUCGUGUUUCUUUAUCUCUCGUGCUCAGUGGCCGAAGAAUUGGGUGAUGGAAGAGAUAAGACAUUUCUGUCUGGUACUGAUUCCAAGUUUGAAAUAAAAUCGACGCAUACCAGCA